rnacentral:rRNA from 1 species
GUUUCUAUCUAUGAAGUGUUUCCUUCCAGUACGAAAGGAUCGAAGAAAAAAGGCCCAUGCUUAAAGCAAGCCUUACCUCCAUCUGAUGAAAGCAACUCAAUUAGAUAAAAGCGCCCCCGCCGCCGCCAAAGAUAACGGCCU